AGGCCUGCCAAUGCCCGCCCAGCCCUACCCAGCCUCCGCGGGCCCCCGGCGCGGGCGCGAGGCCCCCUAGCAGGGGUGACAGCGCCUGAGGGGCCCAGCGGGGCUCAUCUCCCGGAAGACCCCCGCGGUCGGGGUCCCAGGGGUGACCCUGAGCGCAGGGCCCCGCCGAUCCGGGACCAGACGGCGGAAGGGGCGCUCCCGCCUGGAGCCAAGUUUUCUUCACUGCGUCAUUCAGCAAGUCCCUGUGCAAAAAGUUAGAGGAGACAAAGCAUGAGGAGGAACUACGCUUGAGAAAUUUACCAUCACUUAUCUGAUCAAACAGAGGAAGUUCUGGAGGCUGAGAAGUCCAAGAUCAAGAUGCUGGCAGAUUCAGUGUCUGGUACCAAGAAAAAAGCAUUUACCAGGUCAGUAGCUACAUCCCAGUUACCAGGGGAUGUGUUAAUUUGCUCAAGCAAUGAAACCACCUCUGGUACAGCAACUGCAAUUGGAGUCACUGCUUGGUUAAAACCUACAAGAUCCACUGUCAUUCUCGAAAAUUCAUCUGUCUUCUGCAUGGAUCAAAUAGGAACACCAUGAUCAACUAGCCAGCGACGUAGGUCUGCGCCAGUCAGACUGUUCGAUUGCUGCUUUGACUCUGCUGUCCAUCACAGUAACCACACCCCCUUUGCCUCUGGCAGUUGAGCACUUCCAAUUGGCCCCUGCCACCCUGGGAUCCAAUUACUCCCAAUUCAAUGGGUACAGUUCUGCUAUAACUUCUGGCCUAGAGAGAAGAGCGAUCGCAAGAGCGCUUCAAGGAUGCCAGGGCUCCCCUCAUAAGCUGCUAUAGACUGAAUGUUUGUGUCCCCCCCAGAGUUCAUGUGUUGAAGCCCAAAUCCCCAAUGUGAUAGUAUUUGGAUUAUGGGGUUAGUGCCCUUAUAAGAAGAGACAUGAGGGAGAUGAUCUUGCUUCUGCCAUAUGAGAAUACAGCAACAAAGUGGCUGCCUGCAGGCCAGGAAGAAGGCUCUCACUAGACACCACAUCCCCCAAUACCUUGAUCUUGGACUUCCCAGCCUCUAGGACUGAGAAAAAUAAUUGUUGUUUAAGCCACCUACUCUAUAGUAUUUGUUAUAGCAGCCCAGACUGACUAACAUAAGCCCACAGGCCGAAUCCCCUUGUUUUGGUACAGCCCUCAAUCUGAGAAUGGCUUUUACAUUUUCUAAUGAUUGAAAAAACAAAGGAAGAAGAAUAUUUUGUGACAAGUGAAAAUUAUGUGAAAUUUAAAUUUCAGUGUCCAUAAAUAAAGUCUUAUUGGAACACAGCUGCACUCGUUCAUUUAUGUAUUGUUUACGGCUGCUUUUGUGCUACAAGGGUGGAGCUGAGUAAUUACAGCAGACCCUAUAACGGUCCAAUUACUAUCCCGCCCUUUACGGAAAAAGUUUGCUGACCUCUUUUCUAGAUCACUGAUGACCCUGUGCUAGAUUCUUUUGGAGCAAUUAAUACAGCACAUUCAGGGUCCUAUGCCCCAGCUAGACAGUGAUCACUCUCAUAGGAUCCUAUCGGAUGAGACAAAAAC